GCCAGACUCCUACGGGAGGCAGCAGUGAGGAAUAUUGGUCAAUGGCCGGAAGGCUGAACCAGCCAUGCCGCGUGAAGGUCAGUGCCCUAUGGGCGUUAAACUUCUUUUGUGCGGGAGCAAUAAUGGUCACGUGUGGCCAGACGAGAGUACCGUACGAAUAAGCAUCGGCUAACUCCGUGCCAGCAGCCGCGGUAAUACGGAGGAUGCGAGCGUUAUCCGGAUUUAUUGGGUUUAAAGGGUGCGCAGGCGGUCUGUUAAGUCAGCGGUCAAAGCCCGGGGCUCAACCCCGGCCCGCAGUUGAAACUGGCAGUCUCGAGUUGGAGAGAAGUAUGCGGAAUGCACGGUGUAGCGGUGAAAUGCAUAGAUAUCGCGCAGAACUCCGAUUGCGAAGGCAGCAUGCUGGCUCCACACUGACGCUGAGGCACGAAAGCGUGGGUAUCGAACAGGAUUAGAUACCCCUGUAAU
rnacentral:rRNA from 1 species